CGUCAGUCUUUGUCCAGGGGGCCGCCUUCGCCACCGGUAUUCCUCCAGAUCUCUACGCAUUUCACCGCUACACCUGGAAUUCUACCCCCCUCUACAAGACUCAAGCUUGCCAGUUUCAAAUGCAGUUCCCAGGUUGAGCCCGGGGAUUUCACAUCUGACUUAACAAACCGCCUGCGUGCGCUUUACGCCCAGUAAUUCCGAUUAACGCUUGCACCCUCCGUAUUACCGCGGCUGCUGGCACGGAGUUAGCCGGUGCUUCUUCUGCGAGUAACGUCAAUCGCUAAGGUUAUUAACCUUAACGCCUUCCUCCUCGCUGAAAGUACUUUACAACCCGAAGGCCUUCUUCAUACACGCGGCAUGGCUGCAUCAGGCUUGCGCCCAUUGUGCAAUAUUCCCCACUGCUGCCUCCCGUAGGAGUCUGGACCGUGUCUCAGUUCCAGUGUGGCUGGUCAUCCUCUCAGACCAGCUAGGGAUCGUCGCCUAGGUGAGCCAUUACCCCACCUACUAGCUAAUCCCAUCUGGGCACAUCUGAUGGCAUGAGGCCCGAAGGUCCCCCACUUUGGUCUUGCGACGUUAUGCGGUAUUAGCUACCGUUUCCAGUAGUUAUCCCCCUCCAUCAGGCAGUUUCCCAGACAUUACUCACCCGUCCGCCGCUCGUCACCC
rnacentral:rRNA from 1 species